CUUCAGCCAUCAAAAAUCAAACAAGUUGAAGUGAAUCAUCAAUUGCACUUGACGAUGAUAGACGGCAAAAUAACCUCAUAUUUGUCAGAAACAUUUUCUGCUGUCUGUGAUAUUUGCAAAGCAAAACUGUCAGAGUUUUUUGGAGACACUUGCUUGUCAAAGAGAAAAUAAUGAAGAAAUAUUCCAGUAUGGAAUGCCAUCUUUACAUGCCUGGAUAAGAUGCAUGGAGUGCUUACUUCAUAUCGUAUCCAUAAAUUGUUGGCUCAUGGCGGUGAUAUACAAUAAUGAAGAACUUUGGUGCCAUUCGAAUAGGUAAGCUCUCGAAAGAGGCAGCGGAAGCUCUCAAUAAAGAUUUUCGGAAAUAUACAGAGAGUUGUUCUUCUAGAAAAAUAAGUAGAACGUCGACUAAUGAGGAUAUUUUACACAAUAUUCUUUUGUCUUCUGGCCCAAAGAUCGAAUGGUGAAACAAAAUAUAUAAAACUUAGAGAGAUUGCUUAAUUAGAGACCUACUAAAUGUAUUGUUGUUAGGUAUUAUGUAAUUAUGGGUAUCAUUACGUGCUUUUACUUACUAAUCCAUAUCAAAUUUAACUUAAAAGCACUUACGAAAAAAAAUAAAAAGGUUUUUAUUCUAUGUACUUAUUCAUUUUUUUCGAUCCAUUUAUUUGGCAGAGUUGCAACUUUAUGCACAUGUUCAUAGCAUCAAAUGAUAGUAGACUAGACAAGGUGUAAGGAAAAUAAAGUUUCAAAGCGGGACCUCGCGGUACUUAGCAGGAAUUUAAUUUAAUGUGACCCGCUCCAUACAAAAAAAUCACAAAACACAUUUUUCUGACCAAACUAUAAAGUUUUUGUAAUUUUUUCCUAAAACAAUUAUUAUUGAGAUUAACGAGCUCUAUCUACAUAAAGAAAAAUGUUAAAAAACAAAGUUGGUCCCUAAGUCACUAAAAUCAUAGUAUCGACCCACUGUGCGGCAGUCCCCGAGUGCCACACGUGUUUUUUAUUUUUUUAUUUGUCAUGGAUGGAUUGUCAAAAACCUGCACAAAAUUGUUGCAUGUUGUGGUCUCGAGUCUUAAGGCGUUCGUUCAGUUAAUGAAUAUAAUGAAAAGCAAACCUGCCAAAUUAUAAUUUGCGUGAUUACGGGUGUUAGGACGUCUUGUGAGUCCGCGCGGGUAGGUACCACCGCCCUGCCUAUUUCUGCCGUGAAACAGUAAUGCGUUUCGGUUUGAAGGGCGGUGGCAUCUAAAUUGUAGAUGGGUGAUGUGCUCGUCCGUCCACUAAUUAAGCAAUAAAAAAAACACAAUUUGUAUUUUGAGCUCAGACCUAAAUAUGGAUCACGUUCAAUAUCAGAACCAGGAAAUAACAAAUAAAAAUGUAUUUAAAAAAAAAAAAUUUUAUUAGAAAAUUUAACGAUUUACAACUCGCAAUAAAGUCGAGAAAUCUCUCGAAUAAAAAUAAUAAUAAUAAUAUAAUCGAGGGGUGAAAGGAUAUUUUGUUCAAGCGAUAUUUCUUUUAAUACACAACAUUUACUUUUGUAGGGGAUAGGUGACCUUCAUCACAGUCAAAGGGUUAAAUAGCCCUUUCACUUGUCGAUAUAUAUAUUUCAUUCUUGGAAAGGUAUGGCCGGUAAUAGUUUCCCCUCGCAUCUCCCGAACCCUAUUCUGAGUCCGGUCGCGUUGAGGCAGUGGCCGCGCAAUGUGACCGUGUCUCCGUCCUGUAUGAAUUUCCUCUCCUCACCAGUCGAAAGGCGAACGGGCUUGGUGCCCUUCCAGGACAAUUCCAACAUGCUUCCGAAAGAGUCCGCCGCCU